GGCUACGGCCAUACCACCCUGAACGCGCCCGAUCUCGUCUGAUCUCGGAAGCUAAGCAGGGUCGGGCCUGGUUAGUACUUGGAUGGGAGAGGCUGUGGGUU
rnacentral:rRNA from 1 species